rnacentral:rRNA from 1 species
GAGUUUGAUUCUGGCUCAGGAUGAACGCUAGCGACAGGCCUAACACAUGCAAGUCGAGGGGCAGCGAGGGUAGCAAUACCUGUCGGCGACCGGCGCACGGGUGCGUAACACGUAUGCAACCUACCCGUUACAGAGGGAUAACCCGUUGAAAGACGGACUAAUACCUCAUAACACAGGGGCUCCGCAUGGAGAUAUUUGUUAAAGAUUUAUCGGUAACGGACGGGCAUGCGCAUGAUUAGCUGGUUGGUAGGGUAACGGCCUACCAAGGCAACGAUCAUUAGGGGUUCUGAGAGGAAGGUCCCCCACACUGGUACUGAGACACGGACCAGACUCCUACGGGAGGCAGCAGUGAGGAAUAUUGGUCAAUGGGCGAGAGCCUGAACCAGCCAAGUCGCGUGAAGGACGACGGUCUUAUGGAUUGUAAACUUCUUUUGUAAAGGAAUAAAAUGUAUCACGUGUGGUAUUU